GCAGGAAGAGCAGGACCGACCCCGCCCACCUGUCAGUUCAGUUGAGAAACGGUCACGCUCGUGUUCCAAGCAAAUGUCACUUUCAGCUCCUGUGGCCCUAGCCAAACAAAUACAGAUAUGUCACUGACAGAUUUCGUCAACAUUUGGCUCUUUUUUUGCUUUUUCCUUAAUCCAUCAUUCUUGUAACUACGAUUACACUUCAGGCCACCAAGGACGACCGUCAUUUUUUCCCCUGUUGUUACCGUAUUCUCUUUCUUUUUUAAUAAGGAGAAGAACACAGCAUGGUGAAAUGAAAGUAAAAGCAGCACAUUAUUUCUUUACAAGUGAACAAGAACAGAACCAAAUGUUUCACAUCUGCUCCUGUAGUUUGCAGCAUUACCAUGAGAAAGCCAAAGGAGUGUUUCAAUGCAGUACAGCCCACUGCUUCAGAAUGGAGAUGGAGACCUCAGUCAAAACACCGGCUUGCUUGUGCCAGAUGUCCCCGUGAUGAGGACACAAUGAAGGGGCUGACUCGCAUUUAACAAAUCACACCCUGGCCCUUUCGGCCAGAAAGAAGAGGGAACAACUAUAGUCAGGCCAUCCUCCUGUGAAGCCCCCUGGGUCAAAUGUUUUUGCACCACCAUUAUUUUCAAAGGAAUGUGCGGAGACGCUGUUGCUGAGAGGACAAGCCAGUCCACUGAAAUUUAAAACACAGGCUAAGAACUUUUUCAUUGCCCAAUUUCGUGCCAGUGUUUGUGUAUUUUUGGGUUCUGUCUUUCGCUCAGUGCAGUUUUGUUAUUGCAACUUUUGAACAAGUAACUUUUUUUUGUUUCUUGAGUAAUACAAGAGGAAAUCUCAGAGCAUAAUUAUACAGUGGAUUUGGUUUGAAUCAAAAAAUGUAAGAGCAUAUACAAAUAAUAGAUAACUGUGGAUACUUAACAUAGAGUGUACUGAAUUGUAAAACACACUCAAGGAUUUACAACAAAUAAUUGAUCUCAAUGUUUUUAUGGUCAGCAAGCAUAAACUCAAGUACACAAAAAGACUUCUUAUGCAUCAGAAAUGUGAAUCCUGGGCCCCCAUGGCUUGCUGCAGUUUUCUCUGGACAGCUUUAUGUGAGGAUUUGGGACAUCUCAGCAUGAGAGAGACAUCUUUACGGCCAGUGCUGUCGGAAAAAUACAGGGCAGCCUGAAAGAAAAAGACGAAGUCUUUCCUGUGGUACGCAUAUGUGAGCAGUCCAACGUGUCCAAAUCAAUGAAUCGGAGGACAAAAUUAACUUCACAUCUGGAUAUACAGUUAGUUCCCUUUGUGCCGAGACCAGUGACGUCAUGGGCGGCGAACACCUGGAAAUCUCUGGAGCUCAUGUCACAGUAUGUUUAGAUGAGACGUAUGGAGGUGUGCUGGCUGAAAGCCCUCGGCAUAGCAGGAGAUGACCUAUUUGUUCGAGCUGAUUAAUGUCCCUGCCUGCUGAACUCAGGGUUACAUGUACUGAUCUUUGGAUCUAAUGGACAAAAUAAGCUCACACAGUUUACAUAUGAACACGCACAGAGAUGACGGAAAAACAUAUGGAGAGCAUUACCUUUCGUUUCUGCUCUGACAGCCGCAAGACUAUGCUAAACGCUGUGAGUGCAUGUUAGAAAUCGGGAAUGGUGAGAGAACAUUGUGCUUGGUACGUUUUUCAUCUUCAAACCAAAUUUGGGUCUUCAGCCAACAAAGUUUAAAUCCCAUCUGGUUAGCGCGUUUAAUGUUUUCGUGUUAGGUCAGUAGGCAGAGAGUGGGUGGUCUUUUUUCAAACGCAUUCGACAACAUGAACGUCUACACUAUGAAAGAAAUCCAGUCAAAUGCGUUUUUGACUACCUCUAGAAGUGGUCGAAAGUAGACAAGCUCAAAAAGUUUUAGACCCCAUUUACACCUAUUUAGUGUCUAUUCUUGAGCUCCAUAUCAGCAUAUUGGAAUGAUUUCUGAAGGAUCUUGUGACACCGAAGACUGGAGAAAUGGCUCCUUAAAUUUACAUUUUAAAAUGUAUUCAAAUAGAACAGUUUAUUUUAGUUGGUAAUAUAUCUUUUCAUAAAAUAAAUGUAGCCUUGUUGAACAUAAGAGAUUUUCUUCAAGAACAUUAAAAAGUCUUACUGACCCCAGACUUUGGAACAGUAGUUUGAAAGAUUUUCCUCAUAAAUACAGUACACUCACACCUAUGCUGACAUUUGCAGUGUAUCUGUCGAUGUGAGAUCAUAGAUUAAUGUAUUUGUGUAUGAACUAAGCUUCUUUGUUCUCUCUUAUCCUAGGGUUUGUAAGGAGGGCUGGAACAUUGUAUGUUUUAGAUUUAAGUGCCUUGCAGACUCAGUCGUGUGGGUGUGUGCUCCUUAUGUGGGUCAGGUUUUGUCUACAUUGUGGAGGCCAAAUGUACCCAGAAAGAUAGUAAAACCUGCAAUCACCUGCAUUGUGAAGACCAGCAGAUGGUUCUGAGGAGUUAUCCUCUGUUGUGAAAGAAAGCCAUACACUAAAUUAAGCCUACCUGUUAGACUUACGAUACAGAGAUACAGAGUGAGCAUGAACGAGAGAGAGAGAGCUGGAACGAGAUGGAGAACAUCCCUAUAAUUACAAGCAUAAUGAGAGUUCGGGAGUUCACCACAAAUGUUAUGGACUUGAUUCCUUUGGAUGUGCAAAAUGUUGCCGUGAGCUUCUGUCCUUGACUGUCUGACUCCUCCUGUAAACAGCGCAGGAAUCACAUCUUGGCAUUCCUGAAACAACACUGGAUUUGAUUUUACAACCCAAUUAAAGUCGAGCUGUAAAUCAGUGGAAGGGGACAGAAUGAAAAAUGAUGGUCAGACACAGAGAGGACACAGGAGAGACAGUCAGCUAAAAGCAAUUUCCUGUCAAAAUCUGUCUGUCAGUUACAGUCAGCUGAAGGGCA